rnacentral:lncRNA from 1 species
UUUGUUGCUGCCAAGGAUGGCGAUAGCGAGGCAGUGGGAUGGUGGAAUGCGAUAUGGAGAUGGGUGUCGAGCGGUAGCGGUGGAGAGUUGAUGUGAACAAGAUUGAGUGCAAUGAUGGAAGAUAGAAGGGAGUUAGAGUUGUAGAUGGGAAGGGGGAAUACAGGGCAUCAGAUGUUGAUCCAGUGGUCCAAAAUGCUCAAAUCUAUUCACAUCCAAAAUAGAAGGGUUCUCAUGGACAAUUGCUUUGCAUUAUACGACUCGUUCACCCAUUUGCUUGCUUCUCUACAAGUCAUGUAACUAUGCGACUUUAACGUGGAAAAGUGAAGACAUUGGAUUCUUGUGUCGUGUUAAGUUUUCUAAUCACAUUCUAGAUAGAUUAAGCUCUAACCACAUAGAUGGUCAAAUUGCAUAAAUUUUAACACAUACCUGCUUGGUUUUGUGACGGUGUGCUAUAUGGUGAAUAUUGAAUGCACUUAUCGCCAUAUUAAAGCCAUAAUAUUACGAAAAAAAAUAUAUUCCGUAGGUUUGUAGAUCUGUGAUUAUUGUUUGUAAAUUCGCUCGAAACAUAGAAUCAUUUAAUUUGUAUAGUAUUGGUUCCCUAAAAGAAUCCUCUCAAUUCUGUUUUUUUUUUGGUAAAAAUUGGUCCAUCUUGAUUGUUGUUGGUGAGUCCAGCCAGCAAGCCCCCGCCGGUCAUGGUUUGAACACACUGAAAUUCAC